UGGAAACUGGGAAUGAAGCGAAGCAUGUGCGAGGCACAUGAAUGAAAGGCCUUGCAAGUGCAUGCCAGGGAACGGAUAGAACCUAUGUCCAGUUUUGUCAUCACAGUGGCAAGUAGUGCUGAGGGAAGAAGAUCCAGGCUCAUCUGCCGCUGUGUGCCAGGGUCUGAGUGGCAAGUAGUGCUGAGGGAAGAAGGUCCAGGCUCAUCUGCCGCUCAGUGCCAGGGUCUGACGACCUUGCCAUUUUCUUCUUCUUGGUUAGACCAGAAUCCAAGCUGGCAACAAAUUGAGUUGACUGGGGGAUGAGAUGUGAAGCGUGGAUAAGGCUUGAAACUGGAAAAAUUGCCUGUUGCCCCAAUCACCUUGUUAUUAUUGGCAAUCGAAAGGGGACUUCAGAUGCUCUUCUCGGCAAAGGCAACAUCUUUUUUGUUUCUCUUCUGAUUUUUCAGUUGACAGACAAAGUUAUUAGGACAAUGCAUAAGAUCUACAAAGAAAUAAUAAAUACAGACUGUAACCUCCAUUUAAGAGAAGCUUCGACCAAAUUU
rnacentral:lncRNA from 1 species